rnacentral:misc_RNA from 1 species
ACUUUUAUAACCGGAAUAGCGAUGGCUGUGUGUACGGCUAAUCGUUCAUAAAACUUCUUUCUGUAGUGAGAUGUCCUCGGUCACAAAUACCACUUAUAGUGAAUUUAUUUUGCAAGGGGGAUAUAAAUAAAACGGAGGGUUGGAGGAAAUUGGUCAAUCUUGAUCCUCAUGAUCUGCAUAACAUAUAAAACUCGAAAGCCAGUUCGGACAAACGAUACAUAUUUAUGAAGGAUGUCGAGCGAAGUGUAAUUUAUACCAUCUUGUACAGCAG